ACGAGUGUGUGUCAGAGAGGACGAGUUUGUGUCAGAGAGGACAAGUGCGUGUCAGAGAGGACGAGUUUGUGU